rnacentral:lncRNA from 1 species
GAGGACCUCCAGGACUGCCAGGAACUCCAGGUACCCCUGGUAUUAACGGCACUCCAGGAAGAGAUGGAAAGCCAGGACUACCAGGCCCUCCAGGUGAUCCAGUUGCACUUCCACUUGUGGGAGACAUGGGUGCUAUAUUGAAGGGUGAUCCUGGCACAAGAGGUCCUCCAGGCAUUCCUGGCAGAGAAGGACCAAAAGUAAGUUUUGAAGAGUGCUUUGUAAGUAAGUUUUUUUUCAUUGCUUUUGUUCUU